rnacentral:antisense_RNA from 1 species
UUGGCGGUGAACUCCCAGGUGCUGGUCGGGUCGGCCAGCGUCUCGUCGCCGAAGUGGUCGCCGUCGGCCAGCACGCCGAGCACGGUCCGGUCGCCGUACUCGCCGGUGCCGAUCUUGUCCACCUUGCCGUGGGCGAUCAGGAACACCUGGUCCGACGGCCGGCCGAACUCGACGAUGACCUCGCCCGCCUCGUACUCCCGCUGCUCGAACCGGUCGGCCAGGGCGCUGAGCACGUCGAUGUCGUCGAACCCGCGCAGCAGCGGCAGUUCGCACAGCUCGGGCGGGACGACGUCGAUCUCGGACCCGGUGUUGGUGAAGGUGAUCCGGCCGUCGCCCACCUCGUAGCUCAGCCUGCGGUUGACCCGGUACACGCCGCCCUUGGUCUCGACCCACGGCAGCACGCGCAACAGCCACCGCGAGGAGAUGCCCUGCAUCUGAGGCUCGGACUUGGUGGUCGUGGCCAGAUUGCGCGCGGCGCCCGUCGCGAGACUCGUGCGCGCC